AGAUCCUGCAUGGAGAAGCAUCAGUCAUUAUCCCAGAUUACAUCAGGAGACCAACUGUAACAACCAGACAAUACCACAGGCACAGAGUCAGGACUUCAACGGAUGCCUAUAAAUACAGUUUCAUCCCCAGAACAAAUUUUUGACUGGAACCAAUUACCUGAAAGUGCCAUCCAAGCCCCCACAACAGACGCCUUCCGGGUCUGUGUGUGGCAGUUCCUGGUGUAACUAUUGAUACCUGAUUUUAACCCUGUACAGUUGUUGCAAACUCACAUAAUUUUAUUUGAUUUUGUUCCUGUAAAUACACAAGUUUUUGUUUAUUUUUAACUUGGCGUGUACUGGUUGACACACCCGCACAGUAUAUCUGUGUUAUGGAAAUUUCAACUGCAGAUUAUCCGAAAAAUAUAGAAGAAGAAGUACAAUGAACACUAGACAACAGGAAUGACAGGAUAUAUCUUCUGGGGGAUGGAUGGUAACUGAAUCAAUACAAAUAGCCUGAUUGAAUUUGAAAAAGCUGCAAAUGAUAUCAGUAACAAAAGAUUGUUAGUGUGCAGUGUGCAGACAGUGGUUAAACAGAAGUUAACAUUCUAUCAGUUUUGGGAUUUUACAAUCAGCUAGAGGAAAUAAUAGGAGAAAAAGGGACCUGUGUGGUAAAAACUUCCUAAAAGUCGUCCUUUAUGUGUUCAACUUUUUCUUUUGGCUGACAGCCCAGUCAGCUUUCCUAGCAUUAGGGUUAUAUAUCAAGUUCAAGAAGCAUACCUAUAUCAAUCUGCUAGGGAACAGUACUUUCCCUUUGGCAACAUACUUGCUACUAGGAACAGGAGCCUUUAUUAUCUUGUCAGAAAUCAUUAGUUGUACUGGGACAUGUAUAGAAAAUAGAUGUUUUAUGGUUAUGGUGAGUUAUUUCCCUUUGAACACAUUGUCUACUAAGAAUGUAAACCAAAAUUAAGUUUUUUAACUUUUCACAAGCAAAGCCAACAAUAAAUUGAAAAAAAAUCAUUUCAGCUAAUUCCAAUUACAUGUUAUUUUA